rnacentral:rRNA from 1 species
UACGUAGGGUGCAAGCGUUGUCCGGAAUUAUUGGGCGUAAAGAGCUCGUAGGCGGUCUGUCGCGUCUGCUGUGAAAACUCGGGGCUUAACCCCGGGCCUGCAGUGGGUACGGGCAGACUAGAGUGCGGUAGGGGAGACUGGAAUCCCUGGUGUAGCGGUGAAAUGCGCAGAUAUCAGGAGGAACACCGGUGGCGAAGGCGGGUCUCUGGGCCGUAACUGACGCUGAGGAGCGAAAGCAUGGGGAGCGAACAGG